GGACUACUGGGGUAUCUAAUCCUGUUUGCUACCCACGCUUUCGUGUCUCAGCGUCAGAUAUGGUCCAGAAAGCUGUCUACACCACGGGUGUUCCUCCUGAUAUCUACGCAUUUCACCGCUACACCAGGAAUUCCGCUUUCCUCUCCCAUCCUCGAGCCUUCCAGUUCCCGCCGCACCCUCCCAGUUAAGCCGGGAGAUUUCACGACAGACUUAGAAAACCGCCUACACACUCUUUACGCCCAGUAAUUCCGAACAACGCUUGCUGCCUACGUAUUACCGCGGCUGCUGGCAC
rnacentral:rRNA from 1 species